rnacentral:rRNA from 1 species
GAUGAACGCUGGCGGCGUGCCUAAUACAUGCAAGUCGAGCGAAUGGAUUAAGAGCUUGCUCUUAUGGAGUUAGCGGCGGACGGGUGAGUAACACGUGGGUAACCUGCCCAUAAGACUGGGAUAACUCCGGGAAACCGGGGCUAAUACCGGAUAACAUUUUGAACCGCAUGGUUCGAAAUUGAAAGGCGGCUUCGGCUGUCACUGAUGGCUAGACCCGCGUCGCAUUACGUAGUUGGUGAGGUAACGGCUCACCAAGGCAACGAUGCGUAGCCGACCUGAGAGGGUGAUCGGCCACACUGGGACUGAGACACGGCCCAGACUCCUACGGGAGGCAGCAGUAGGGAAUCUUCCGCAAUGGACGAAAGUCUGACGGAGCAACGCCGCGUGAGUGAUGAAGGCUUUCGGGUCGUAAAACUCUGUUGUUAGGGAAGAACAAGUGCUAGUUGAAUAAGCUGGCACCUUGACGGUACCUAACCAGAAAGCCACGGCUAACUACGUGCCAGCCGCCGCAGUAA